rnacentral:rRNA from 1 species
UAGGGAAUAUUGCGCAAUGGAGGAAACUCUGACGCAGCGACGCCGCGUGGGUGAUGAAGGUCUUCGGAUCGUAAAGCCCUGUUGCAGGGGAAUAAGAAAGUGAAUGUACUCUGCGAGAAAGGAUCGGCUAACUUCGUGCCAGCAGCCGCGGUAAGACGAGGGAUCCUAGCGUUGUUCGGAAUCAUUGGGCGUAAAGCGGAUGUAGGUGGCUAAAUAAGUCAGGUGUGAAAUCCUGGGGCUUAACCCCAGAAGUGCAUUUGAUACUGUUUAGCUUGAGUGCCGGAGAGGUUACUAGAAUACCUGGUGUAGUGGUGAAAUACGUAGAUAUCAGGUGGAACACCGGAGGCGAAGGCGGGUAACUGGCUGGACACUGACACUCAGAUCCGAAAGCGUGGGGAUCAAACA